rnacentral:rRNA from 1 species
AGUGAACGCUGGCGGUAGGCCUAACACAUGCAAGUCGAACGGCAGCACAGUAAGAGCUUGCUCUUACGGGUGGCGAGUGGCGGACGGGUGAGGUAUACAUCGGAAUCUACUUUUUCGUGGGGGAUAACGUAGGGAAACUUACGCUAAUACCGCAUACGACCUACGGGUGAAAGCAGGGGAUCUUCGGACCUUGCGCGAUUGAAUGAGCCGAUGUCGGAUUAGCUAGUUGGCGGGGUAAAGGCCCACCAAGGCGACGAUCCGUAGCUGGUCUGAGAGGAUGAUCAGCCACACUGGAACUGAGACACGGUCCAGAGUCCUACGGGAGGCAGCAGUGGGGAAUAUUGGACAAUGGGCGCAAGCCUGAUCCAGCCAUACCGCGUGGGUGAAGAAGGCCUUCGGGUUGUAAAGCCCUUUUGUUGGGAAAGAAAAGCAGCAGGUUAAUACCCCGCUGUUCUGACGGUACCCAAAGAAUAAGCACCGGCUAACUUCGUG